rnacentral:rRNA from 1 species
GACGAACGCUGGCGGCGUGCUUAACACAUGCAAGUCGAACGAAGUGGCGAACGGGUGAGUAACGCGUACUCAACCUGCCCGUCAGGGGGGGACAACAGUUGGAAACGACUGCUAAUACCGCAUACUGAAGGAGGGGAUUGCGUCUGAUUAGCUAGUUGGAGGGGUAACGGCCCACCAAGGCGAUGAUCAGUAGCCGGUUUGUGAGGAUGAAUGGCCACAUUGUGACUUGGACACGGCCCAGAAUCCUACGGGAGGCAGCAGUGGGGAAUCUUCCUCAAUGGACGUAAGUCUGACGGAGCAACGCCGCGUGAGUUAUGACGGCCUUCGGGUUGUAAAGCUCUGUUAAUCGGGACGCGGUACCGGAAUAGAAAGCCACGGCUAACUACGUGCCAGCAGCCGCGGUAAUUC